CCUCUCCGCAACAGCCCUCUGCUUCUCUUCACUACCGUCGCCGGACUCCUCUCUACCUCUCCGCACUCACCGCCACUAGCCGUAGGACUCCUCUCUGCCUCUCCGCUCUGACCAUCGUCGGUCGCAUGACUCCACUCUGUCUCUCCACACUCGCUGUCGACUGCCGCAAGACUUCCAUCUCUCUGCAUCGUAGGACCAUAGCAAGAGUCAGCAAGCCCUCUGCUAAUCACUCCACACUCUGCAUCAAACCAAAAGCUCAAAGCCAAAGGAUUUGCCGAUUGAACUACCAGAGAAUGAAGCUAAAAAUAAAAAUGUUGCAGCAAAUAAUCUUGAGGAUAACGUAGUGUUGGAAUUUGGACAACUUAUUAAGGAGAAAAGUUUCACAAAAGCUCAAUAUGAGCAUCUGGUUGAUGUACUGAGGUCAAGAACUACUGAUUUGGAUACAACCAAUUCUGGUGCAAAUGGUGAAAAGAUAAAUGAUGUUAUUGUUCCCCAGCCAGCAACAAGAACAGACAACUUCAGCUUAUGUGAAGAUCAUGUAAGAUCUUGAGAUGUUUUAGCUCUUUGAGAAAAUUAAUAUUCUUAAUUAGAACAUUGCAAUCCUGUAAUACCUUUUGUUUUUUAGCUAACAUAGUGUUUAAUCCUGUAAUACCUUUGUUGCAACAAUAAAUCCUGCAAUCCUUAGAAAAUUAACA